AUGAAGCACGUCAGACGUUACUUAUGAGAAGAGGCAGAGGACCUUCGCCACCAGUGAAGAAGGGGUAACCAGGAGUGGAAGUGGAGAGUGGAGUGUUUUAUAUAUGCAAGUGGGGUGAAGAGAGAGAGACCCUCCUCUCUGUGGGGUCAGCCGAUGAGAGAAGAUGAAGAACCAAAUUACCAAUGCCCUCUCCGACUUCUUCUUUGAGUACGAGACCCCGCGCCAGGUGCUCGUGAGGAACAGGAGGGUGGGAGUGGUGUGCCGUAUCAUCCAGCUGGGGGUCCUGGCUUACAUCAUUGGGUGGGUGUUCAUCUACGAAAAAGGCUACCAGUCCACAGACGUAGCAGUGAGCUCCGUCUACACCAAAAUGAAAGGAGUGGGCUACACCAGCAUAAACGGAACUGAGAGAGUCUGGGAUGUGGCCGACUACGUCUUUCCUUCUCAGGGAGAUGCAUCUUUUGUGGUGAUGACAAACUACAUCAUAACUGAAGGUCAGAAGAUGGGAAAGUGUCCAGAGCUCCACGGAAAGCACAACUGCAGCUCAAACGCUGACUGUGAAGGAGGGAGUUUCAAACGUACGGGACAUGGGCAAAUGACUGGUGUAUGUGUGGAUGAGACCAAGACUUGUCAGGUUUUGGCAUGGUGCCCUGUCGAGGAUGAUCUCGUCAUACCUGAUCCUCCUAUGCUGAUGUCUGCAGAGAACUACACGCUGUUCAUCAAAAAUUCUGUUACUUUCCCCUUAUUUGGCGUUUCAAGGAGUAACCUGGUGGAGGGUAUUGAUGCUGGAUACAUCAGCAAAUGCCUUUAUCAUCCUGAAGAUGCUCCACUGUGUCCCAUAUUCAGACUGGGAGACAUAGUGAAACUGUCUGGCUUCAAUUUCGAAACAAUAGCCACAGUGGGAGGGGCUAUUGGUAUUGUGGUGGACUGGACAUGUAACUUUGAUGUGUCUGUAAAACACUGCAAACCAAAGUACACUUUCCACGGUCUGUACGGAAACCCCGCUGAGACGGACAAAGCCAGAGCUUCAGUGGGCUACAAUUUCAGGUAUGCUAAGCAUUAUAUGGAGGACAGAUAUCAGAAGAGAACUCUUAUGAAAGUGUUUGGGAUUAGGUUCGAUAUCAUUGUGCAAUCACUGGCAAGAAAGUUUGAUAUCAUCCCAACCUUAACAGCUAUAGGCUCUGGAGUGGGCAUCUUCGGAGUGGCAACUGUAGUAUGUGACUUGGUGCUGCUCUAUUUGCUACCAAAAAGAGCAUUUUACAAGAACAUGAAAUUCAAAUACACAGACACACAUGCACAGAAAGUUCCCACUGAAACAGGCAGAACAUUUUUUAUUUACAGCAGGACAGCGAAUGGCUUGGUUUAGAAACAAGCGACUGUUGCCCCUUUGACGCAAAUGCAAGACAAGUCCAAAGCACUGGCCAGACUGACGACCCUGACUCAGAGGCAUGUAGCACAGAGACUGAGGCAUCUAAAAAGUGACCUGGGAGCAAACUUUUAAGGACUUUGAAGGAUAACUGAACUGGGACCCUAAGAGACAACAAACAUGGACUUGCGAUUAGAAAAGGACACGUUCCAAAGACCUUGCUCCAUGUGCACUCUUAUUUAUUCAGCAGGAUCUUCUACCAACAAUAUCGUCCUUCUCUUACAACCACCCUGAAUUACUGUGACUUUCGCUGUUGUAUGUAGAGCUUAGAUGUAUGUGUACUUUUUCGGGUGUAGCUUGGUUUGCUUUUGUUCUCACUCUGGGUUUACCCUCCACAUCCUUCAUAUUUGUGCAGGUAAAAGAAAACUGUCGGCUACCUUAGUGUUUCUAUAUGUGCAGAAAUCAACCACAAAUCAUCCUUGAACUGUUUGUCUUCUUUCAAAGCCAAUUAUGCACACAUGCCGUGCAGAUGUGCCACUGUCGGAGUGAUUAAUCACCAUGUGCACCUUGUGAUUGAUAUUUCAAUAAAUGUGUACAUAGUA